UACGUAGGGUGCAAGCGUUAAUCGGAAUUACUGGGCGUACAGCGUGCGCAGGCGGUGAUGUAAGACCGUUGUGAAAUCCCCGGGCUCAACCUGGGAACUGCAUUUGUGACUGCAUGGCUAGAGUACGGUAGAGGGGGAUGGAAUUCCGCGUGUAGCAGUGAAAUGCGUAGAUAUGCGGAGGAACACCGAUGGCGAAGGCAAUCCCCUGGACCUGUACUGACGCUCAUGCACGAAAGCGUGGGGAGCAAACAGG
rnacentral:rRNA from 1 species